AAGGAGUCUAACAUCUAUGGGAGUGUUCGGGUGUCAAACCCGUCCGCGCAGUGAAAGCGAACGGAGGUGGGAGCCCCUCGGGGCGCACCAUCGACCGAUCCUGAUGUCUUCGGAUGGAUUUGAGUAAGAGCAUAGCUGUUGGGACCCGAAAGAUGGUGAACUAUGCCUGAAUAGGGCGAAGCCAGAGGAAACUCUGGUGGAGGCUCGCAGCGGUUCUGACGUGCAAAUCGAUCGUCAAAUUUGGGUAUAGGGGCGAAAGACUAAUCGAACCAUCUGGUAGCUGGUUCCUGC
rnacentral:misc_RNA from 1 species